UACGGAGGGGGCUAGCGUUGUUCGGAAUUACUGGGCGUAAAGCGCACGUAGGCGGCUUUGCAAGUUAGAGGUGAAAGCCCGGGGCUCAACUCCGGAAUUGCCUUUAAAACUGCAUCGCUAGAGUUGUGGAGAGGUAAGUGGAAUUCCGAGUGUAGAGGUGAAAUGCGUAGAUAUCGGGAGGAACACCUGCGGUGUAGACGGCUUACUGGACCAUAACUGACGCUGAGGCACGAAAGCGUGGGUAGCAAACAGG
rnacentral:rRNA from 1 species